GCCGUGUCCAUCUACAUCUCUGCUGAGGGAUCGGGUAGCCUGCAGUUUGCCCUCUGCUGUGUUGGUUUGAAGCUCAUAGGAGACUUAAGACGGGCUCUCGAGCAACCAGCGUUCUGUCUUUUGCCGUAGACUGUGAAGCAUCCUGUGUGUGUGAAGCACCCGCCAUCAGUCAAGUAUGCCCGGUGCUUUCUCUCAGAACUCAUCAAAAAUCCCUCGGAAGGCUCGGUCACACUCUCUGAGAGCACAGCCAUCAUCUCCCACGGUACCACAGGCCUGGUCACAUGGGA
rnacentral:lncRNA from 1 species